GUGGGCCCCUGGGAGCUACUAACGGUUGUUGAGUAAGAGAACCACAGAAUGGACCCUAGAACAGUCAGUACACUUAAUUAUAGAGAGGACCACUAUUGUAAGGCUCUUAUGGGAGUUUAGGCAAAGGGUCAUGCGGCCUGAACUAGGGAGAGAGAGAGCAA